AGUGAACGCUGGCGGUAGGCCUAACACAUGCAAGUCGAGCGGCAGCACAGUAAGAGCUUGCUCUUACGGUUGGCGAGUGGCGGGCGGGUGAGGAAUACAUCGGAAUCUACUUUUUCGUGGGGGAUAACGUAGGGAAACUUACGCUAAUACCGCAUACGAUCUACGGGUGAAAUCAGGGGAGCUUCGGACCUUGCGCGAUUGAAUUAGCCGAUGUCGGAUUAGCUAGUUGGCGGGGUAAAGGCCCACCAAGGCAACGAUCCGUAGCUGGUCUGAGAGGAUGAUCAGCCACACUGGAACUGAGACACGGUCCAGACUCCUACGGGAGGCAGCAGUGGGGAAUAUUGGACAAUGGGCGCAAGCCUGACCCAGCCAUACCGCGUGGGUGAAGAAGGCCUUCGGGUUGUAAAGCCCUUUUGUUAGGAAAGAACAGAAGCAGGUUAAUACGCCGCUGUUCUGACGGUACCCAAAGAAUAAGCAACGGCUAACUUCGUG
rnacentral:rRNA from 1 species